AAGUUACAAACUUUUAUAUAACAAAAAACUAAAUUAAAUUCCCUAUAAAAAAUUAUCAAAUAAAAGAUAUUCCCUUUUCCAAUUCAAACAACAUUUAAACGCGUCCUACGCCAAUAUUGUCAUAGCGAAAGCGUUCCUACUCUCUGAUACGUACUCUACUGUAGAAUCGAAGACAGUUUAAGUCGGCGGUUUUCGAUAUCGAAAUUGAACGGAUGUAUGGCAUGAUCACUAAAACAAUAGCCCGCGGAACGAACAUAGGAUGAAAGGUCCGUAAAGCGAGAUUGAACGCCCUCUUAGUAUUUGACCACCGAAGAGAAAGGUUGUGCCUAGAACAUUACCCAAGAUUGAACAAUUGUAUUAAUUAGUAGUGAAGCCAAGUCAAGGGAAGAAAGUGUAAGGGUGCUCAGGAGAAGUGCAAAAGUGCAUUCGAAAAACAAUUUGUUAUUGGACUAGUUAGCCAUCGCCAUGUGAGCCCGGCGUGGUUAGUUAAACUUGUGGAGCAAUCUAAUCAACUACAGCACCCGAAGAGGUUAAAUUAGUUCUGUGCCAACACCAGGUAAUCCUUCAAGCGAAGGUCUAACCCCCAGGACCAGUCUAAACCUGGAGUGUAGUGGCCGCUCGGUACGCCCUGUGAGAAACUAGCCCACGAGGUUGGUCGAUGAGGUCAUCAUCAUCGUUGCGUCAUAGAGCCGUUCUGACGUGACACUUAAACGAACAGACAAGUUAGUCCGACCCGCACUAAUUCACCACGGCGGGACAACUCACCACCGACGUCACCGAGCGAGAACCGUUACUCGGGUAAGGCUGACGCGUGGCCUACCUAAAGGGGCCCGUCCAGCUGGUGCAACUGCAACUGCAACCAGCAGGUGAGGAAACAGAAGCAUGCACAGGUAUGAGAAAGGGCAGC